CUUUGAUUGAUAUCCAGACAUUUUUUGCGGAGACACAAUCCUGUUCCCCACUUGUAUUGGAGUGGACGGCGAUAUCUACUUCUGGGCCACAUGAAAUGACGGACCCCCGUCAACUCCCAGCUAAAACAGCUGCAAUACCAGGCUUGGCCUCUGAGCACGGGUGGAUUGCGGAAGUAUAUGCCUAUCCUGGGGGCCUGGUUAUCACAGGCUCACAGCACUAGUUGCGGAAGCCGCGACAUAUCCAGAAGAAUUGACAGGCACCUGCAUUUGAGGAGAACUAAGUAAGUAUACAAACAACACACACACUUAAGCAUUUAUCUUCACUUGUUACAGCAGCGGUCUUCCACAGAGGCUUUAGUGGUUAAACGGCAUAUUUAUGUCCUUAAACAAGUAGUAUCUAUUGAGAUUUUACAUUUAAGUGUCAAAUCUUUAUCUGUUACAGAUUGAUUUAAAUAAUGGAAUAUAGCGUUUGGACCAAGCGACGGCUAAUUAAUGCCAAAGUUCAGGAGCACUUGCGGGUGUUGGAAACUGUGUUGGACUGUCGUGAAAGGGACCAAGAAUCAGAUUCUGAGGAAAGGCGCCAAAUAUCAGAUUCCGAGGAAAGGGACCAAGAUUCAGAUUCCGAGGAAAGGGACCAAGAUUCAGAUUCCGAGGAAAGGGACCAAGAUUCAGAUUUAGACGAAGGAGACCGAGAAUCAGAUACCGAGAUGGUUUAUGAUUAUUGCAGUGAAGCAGAACCUUGCCAGAAUAAUUCAGACAUUGUUGAAGGAUCUGAUCCGUGUAGUGAGCUUAAAGAUAAGUUGGCUGAUUGGGCAGCAAAACGCAAUAUUUCACAUAGUGCCUUGUCAGAACUAUUACCUAUUUUAAGGCAUUGUGGCCUUGACUUGCCAAAAGAUCCAAGAACGCUUAUGUCAACCUCAAAAAACUGUGAGGUCAAAGAAAUGGGAGAUGGAAGCUACUACUAUUUUGGAGUUGCAAAUGCUAUUAUUUCACAGCUAUCUCGUGAAUCACCUCCUGUAGUAGACACUCUAACCCUCCGGGUCAACAUUGAUGGCAUAUCCCUCUCCAAAAGCUCGAAAAAUGAGUUGUGGCCUAUUUUGGCCAAGAUUAAAGAAAUUCCGACAUCUGAUGUAUUUGUCGUUGGGCUCUAUGCAGGCCCCUCAAAGCCCCCUUCUGUUGGUGAAUACUUGAAGGAUUUUAUUCAGGACCUUAAGCUAAUAACUUCCGAGGGUUUUGAUUAUAAUGGGAAACAUUUUAAUGUCGCUCUUCCAGAUGCCUUCAUCUGUGAUGCACCUGCCCGUGCCUUCUUAAAAGGUAUCAAAGGCCAUACAGGCUACAGUGCCUGUGAGCGCUGUGUAGAGCACGGGGUUUAUCUAAAUGGCAAGGUUGUUUUUCCUGACUUGAAUGAACCACUCAGAACUGAUAUAACAUUUAAAAGUAGGUGUGAUGAGGGACAUCACCAUCGUGACUCACCUUUACUAGAGCUGGGAAUAGGGAUGGUUUCAAGUUUUGUACUUGACUACAUGCAUUUAGUUUGCUUGGGAAAUGUUAGGAGACUUAUAAGUCUGUGGAUCCAUGGGCCAUUAAAGUGUCGGCUUUCAUCGUCCACCAUCACAACUAUCUCGAGCCACUUGAAAUCAAUUAGAGAAUAUAUCCCGAGGAAUUUUUCAAGAAAACCACGGUCUCUAAGUGAAUUCAAACAAUGGAAGGCCACUGAAUUUAGGCAGUUUUUGUUGUACACUGGACCUGUGGUCCUGAAAGGACGCCUAUCUACACGGAUGUACAAAAACUUCAUGCUUUUAUCUGUAGCGAUGAGAAUUCUUCUCAGUCCAGCUUUGUGUUCAGAGUAUUGUGACUAUGCUGACAAACUAUUAAAAUGUUAUGUCCAGAACUUUGCAAAGAUAUAUGGACCUGACCAGGUAGUUUACAACACACAUUCUCUUAUACAUCUGGCUGAUGAUGCACGGAGGUUUGGUGCCCUAGACAGUGUUUCGUGUUUCCCAUUUGA
ensembl:lncRNA